AACGAACGCUGGCGGCAUGCCUAACACAUGCAAGUCGAACGAAGGCUUCGGCCUUAGUGGCGCACGGGUGCGUAACGCGUGGGAAUCUGCCCCUCGGUUCGGAAUAACAGUUAGAAAUGACUGCUAAUACCGGAUGAUGACUUCGGUCCAAAGAUUUAUCGCCGAGGGAUGAGCCCGCGUAAGAUUAGGUAGUUGGUGGGGUAAAGGCCUACCAAUCCGACGAUCUUUAGCUGGUCUGAGGGGAUGAUCAGCCACACUGGGACUGAGACACGGCCCAGACUCCUACGGGAGGCAGCAGUAGGGAAUAUUGGACAAUGGGCGAAAGCCUGAUCCAGCAAUGCCGCGUGAGUGAUGAAGGCCUUAGGGUUGUAAAGCUCUUUUACCAGGGAUGAUAAUGACAGUACCUGGAGAAUAAGCUCCGGCUAACUCCGUGCCAGCCGCCGCAGUAA
rnacentral:rRNA from 1 species